rnacentral:rRNA from 1 species
GACAGAGGUGGCAAGCGUUGCGCGGAUUUACUGGGCUUAAAGGGCGCGUAGGCGGCUUUAUAAGUCCGAGGUGGAAUUCCACAGCUUAACUGGGGAACUGCCUUGGAAACUAUAAGGCUUGAGUCAGGUAGAGGAGGGCGGAAUUCCCGGUGUAGCGGUGAAAUGCGUAGAUAUCGGGAGGAAGGCCGGGGGGGAAAGCAGGGCGCUGGGCGUCUACUGGCGCUGAGGCGCGAAAGCGUGGGGAGCAAGCCGG